rnacentral:rRNA from 1 species
ACAUCUCACAAAAUGGUCAGCAGCACGAUACACACCAUCACAACUCAGAAUUCAUCGACACACUACAUAGUGGUACAGAACAGCUCACGCCCACACAGCCGAUGUCAGGCAACACUCACCCAGACACGACGGGUAGCGGCCUAAGAGGGUCACCACCACCCUGGCACUGAGUCCGGCACCAACUCCCACGGGAGGCAGCAGUGGGGAAUAUUGCACAAUGGGCGCAACCCUGAUGCAGCGACGCCGCAUGAGGCAUGACGGCCUUCGGGUUGUAAAACCUCUGUUAGCAGGGAAGAAGAGAGAUUGACGGUACCUGCAGAGAAGCGCCGGCUAACUACGUGCCAGCCGCCACGGUAAUACGUAGGGCGCGAGCGUUGUCCGGAAUUAUUGGGCGUAUAGAGCUGUAGGCGGUUUGUCGCGUCUGCUGUGAAAGACCGGAGCUUAACUCCGUGUAUUGCAGUGGGUACGGGCAGACUAGAGUGCAGUAGGGGAGACUGGAAUUCCUGGUGUAGCGGUGGAAUGCGCAGAUAUCAGGAGGAACACCGAUGGCGAAGGCAGGUCUCUGGGCUGUAACUGACGCUGAGAAGCGAAAGCAUGGGGAGCGAACAGG